CAGAUGAGGUGCCUGAAGGGUAGAGAAGUGCUGAAUAAUAUUCCAUCAUUUGGAUGUACCACUGUCUGUUCACUUACUGAAGGGAUUUUUGGUUGCUUUCAAGCACUGGCAAUAAUGAACGAGGUUGCUAUAAACAUCGGUGUGCACAAAGUGUACACAAAAUUGUACUUAAAUUUUUAACUCCUCGGAGUGGAACAGGGAGUGAUUACUGGAUCGCAUAAGAGGAUGUUUACUUCUGCAAGAAACUGCCAAGGUGUCUUCCAAAGAAAUUUCCAGGCUGCCUCAUUUUGCAGCAGUGAAUGGGAGUUCCUCUUGAUCACCAUCCGCACCAGCAUUCAGUGUUCUGGAUUUUGGCCCUUCUAAUAGGUUCAAGAGCCCUUGGUGUAUUUUGGAUCCCAGUCCCGUUAGGUUGGUUUGAGGUGGCUAAGGAACAAAGCACCAGGUAACCCGCAACACCUGUCAAUCAACAGAGUCUCCUGAUCAAUCCUGGAAGGACAAAGAUCUCAGCAAGAUCCCCCAACCAACCCCAGGAGGACAAGGACCUCUAAAAUACUCCCUUUGCUGUCCCAAACCUUCCCUUUCUGUCCUAGGCCCAAUAAAAUUCCAAUCCGGCUGAGCCUGGGUGCGACUCUCCUGGACCCGCUCUAUCGGUCUGGAGGGUCUCGCCUGGGAAUUAAUCUCAAUGAAGCCUUGUUCCGCAGCUGUUAAUCUGCCUCCUUUUGGUCACCGGUGCCUGACCUUACAAGUCCUUUAUCAUAUUUGUCUUUUGCUGGUAUUUUCUCCCGGUCUGUGACUUUUCUUCUCAUUUUCUUGAGAAAAAUAAAUUUUGAAUGCAA